rnacentral:tRNA from 2 species
AGGCGCGUAGCUCAGUUGGUUAGAGCACUACCUUGACAUGGUAGGGGUCGUUGGUUCGAAUCCGAUCGCGCCUACCA